GGCCCCGUAGCUCAGCUGGAUAGAGCUGCUGCGUCCUAAGCAGAUGGUCGGGAGUUCGAAUCUCUCCGGGGUCGCCA
rnacentral:tRNA from 1 species